rnacentral:rRNA from 1 species
UUUGAUCAUGGCUCAGAUUGAACGCUGGCGGCAGGCCUAACACAUGCAAGUCGAGCGGCAGCACAGAGAAACUUGUUUCUCGGGUGGCGAGCGGCGGACGGGUGAGUAAUGCCUGGGAAAUUGCCCUGAUGUGGGGGAUAACCAUUGGAAACGAUGGCUAAUACCGCAUGAUGCCUACGGGCCAAAGAGGGGGACCUUCGGGCCUCUCGCGUCAGGAUAUGCCCAGGUGGGAUUAGCUAGUUGGUGAGGUAAGGGCUCACCAAGGCGACGAUCCCUAGCUGGUCUGAGAGGAUGAUCAGCCACACUGGAACUGAGACACGGUCCAGACUCCUACGGGAGGCAGCAGUGGGGAAUAUUGCACAAUGGGCGCAAGCCUGAUGCAGCCAUGCCGCGUGUGUGAAGAAGGCCUUCGGGUUGUAAAGCACUUUCAGUUGUGAGGAAGGUG